UUGCAUGCUUUUAAAUCAAAUGGGCCAAGAUUAACUUUGCUAGCUGACCUGUACCGUAAACAAGAAAAGAAAACUAAUUAGGUUUGUUACUUGGCAUAUAAGAGGAGAAGGAAGCCACACGAAGAAGGGAAUUCACGUUUUGCAAGAAAGCGAAUUCACGCUUUGAGAACAGAGGAGCACGAGAGAGGGAAGAGCUACGGCAUGCAAACAACAAC
rnacentral:lncRNA from 1 species